rnacentral:rRNA from 1 species
AGUGAACGCUGGCGGCAGGCCUAACACAUGCAAGUCGAGCGGCAGCGGGUCCUUCGGGAUGCCGGCGAGCGGCGGACGGGUGAGGAAUGCAUCGGAAUCUGCCCUGUCGUGGGGGAUAACCUAGGGAAACUUAGGCUAAUACCGCAUACGACCCACGGGUGAAAGCGGGGGAUCGCAAGACCUCGCGCGAUAGGAUGAGCCGAUGUCCGAUUAGCUAGUUGGCGGGGUAAAGGCCCACCAAGGCGACGAUCGGUAGCUGGUCUGAGAGGAUGAUCAGCCACACUGGGACUGAGACACGGCCCAGACUCCUACGGGAGGCAGCAGUGGGGAAUAUUGGACAAUGGGCGAAAGCCUGCCCCAGCCAUGCCGCGUGGGUGAAGAAGGCCUUCGGGUUGUAAAGCCCUUUUGUCCGGGAGGAAAGCGUCUGGGCUAAUACCCCGGGCGGAUGACGGUACCGGAAGAAUAAGCACCGGCUAACUUCGUG